GCAGGUAUGGUGGAAUAGGCAGACACAGAGGACUUAAAAUCCUCUGGUAAUAAUACCGUGUGAGUUCAAGUCUCACUACCUGUA
rnacentral:tRNA from 2 species